rnacentral:rRNA from 1 species
AUGGUCCCUGGUGUCUAUUAUUCAAAAUGUUUAUUAAUAUGCCAGACAAUUGAACAAACUGAUUUUGUUUCUCAUUGUAAGGCAUAUUGUUUUGCAGUUGCAAUGCAGUUCUUCAUAUUUGGUCAGUUUGUAUACCAUCCUGCUAUAGUAAUGCAGUAUGAGUCUGGAAAUAAUUUAUUGAAAAAUCUUUUCAACUUUGGGUUGCACAAGCAACAUAAAUGUGCUGAUCUAAAACAGCAAGCAGCAGCAACACUAUCCAGCUCCACUUUUUGUUUUGUGCAACUCACAAAUGAAAGCACUUUCCCAUGA